GCCGGUGUGGCUCAAUUGGCAGAGCAGUUGAUUUGUAAUCAGAAGGUUGUGGGUUCGAGUCCCACCUUCGGCU
rnacentral:tRNA from 1 species